UGGGGAAUUGUUCGCAAUGGGCGCAAGCCUGACGACGCAACGCCGCGUGGAGGAUGAAGACCUUCGGGUCGUAAACUCCUUUCGAUCGAGACGAAUGUUUUUCGGGUGAAUACUCCGGAAAAGUGACGGUACCGAGAGAAGAAGCCCCGGCUAACUCUGUGCCAGCAGCCGCGGUAAUACAGGGGGGGCAAGCGUUGUUCGGAAUUACUGGGCGUAAAGGGCUCGUAGGUGGCCAACUAAGUCAGACGUGAAAUCCCUCAGCUUAACUGGGGAACUGCGUCUGAUACUGGAUGGCUUGAGUUUGGGAGAGGGAUGCGGAAUUCCAGGUGUAGCGGUGAAAUGCGUAGAUAUCUGGAGGAACACCGGUGGCGAAGGCGGCAUCCUGGACCAACACUGACACUGAGGAGCGAAAGCCAGGGGAGCAAACGG
rnacentral:rRNA from 1 species